rnacentral:rRNA from 1 species
UAACUUUUAACAACGGAUCUCUUGGCUCUUGCAUCGAUGAAGAACGCAGCGAGAUGCGAUAAGUAAUGUGAAUUGCAGAAUUCCGUGAAUCAUUAAAUCUUUGAACGCAAAUUGCACUUCUUGGUAUUCCGAGGAGUAUACUUGCUUGAGGGUUGGUC